GAUGAACGCUGGCGGCGUGCCUAAUACAUGCAAGUCGAGCGAACGGACGAGAAGCUUGCUUCUCUGAUGUUAGCGGCGGACGGGUGAGUAACACGUGGAUAACCUACCUAUAAGACUGGGAUAACUUCGGGAAACCGGAGCUAAUACCGGAUAAUAUUUUGAACCGCAUGGUUCAAAAGUGAAAGACGGUCUUGCUGUCACUUAUAGAUGGAUCCGCGCUGCAUUAGCUAGUUGGUAAGGUAACGGCUUACCAAGGCAACGAUGCAUAGCCGACCUGAGAGGGUGAUCGGCCACACUGGAACUGAGACACGGUCCAGACUCCUACGGGAGGCAGCAGUAGGGAAUCUUCCGCAAUGGGCGAAAGCCUGACGGAGCAACGCCGCGUGAGUGAUGAAGGUCUUCGGAUCGUAAAACUCUGUUAUUAGGGAAGAACAUAUGUGUAAGUAACUGUGCACAUCUUGACGGUACCUAAUCAGAAAGCCACGGCUAACUACGUGCCAGCAGCCGCGGUAAUACGUAGGUGGCAAGCGUUAUCCGGAAUUAUUGGGCGUAAAGCGCGCGUAGGCGGUUUUUUAAGUCUGAUGUGAAAGCCCACGGCUCAACCGUGGAGGGUCAUUGGAAACUGGAAAACUUGAGUGCAGAAGAGGAAAGUGGAAUUCCAUGUGUAGCGGUGAAAUGCGCAGAGAUAUGGAGGAACACCAGUGGCGAAGGCGACUUUCUGGUCUGUAACUGACGCUGAUGUGCGAGAGCGUGGGGAUCAAACAGGAUUAGAUACCCUGGUAGUCCACGCCGUAAACGAUGAGUGCUAAGUGUUAGGGGGUUUCCGCCCCUUAGUGCUGCAGCUAACGCAUUAAGCACUCCGCCUGGGGAGUACGACCGCAAGGUUGAAACUCAAAGGAAUUGACGGGGACCCGCACAAGCGGUGGAGCAUGUGGUUUAAUUCGAAGCAACGCGAAGAACCUUACCAAAUCUUGACAUCCUUUGACAACUCUAGAGAUAGAGCUUUCCCCUUCGGGGGACAAAGUGACAGGUGGUGCAUGGUUGUCGUCAGCUCGUGUCGUGAGAUGUUGGGUUAAGUCCCGCAACGAGCGCAACCCUUAAGCUUAGUUGCCAUCAUUAAGUUGGGCACUCUAAGUUGACUGCCGGUGACAAACCGGAGGAAGGUGGGGAUGACGUCAAAUCAUCAUGCCCCUUAUGAUUUGGGCUACACACGUGCUACAAUGGACAAUACAAAGGGCAGCGAAACCGCGAGGUCAAGCAAAUCCCAUAAAGUUGUUCUCAGUUCGGAUUGUAGUCUGCAACUCGACUACAUGAAGCUGGAAUCGCUAGUAAUCGUAGAUCAGCAUGCUACGGUGAAUACGUUCCCGGGUCU
rnacentral:rRNA from 1 species